rnacentral:sRNA from 1 species
AACCACCCGCUAUGCGGGUGGUUCUGAUUUAAUUAAAUUUUUAUUCAAAAAAAUAUUUUUAAUAAAAA